rnacentral:rRNA from 1 species
UCGAGCGGUAGAGAGAAGCUUGCUUCUCUUGAGAGCGGCGGACGGGUGAGUAAUGCCUAGGAAUCUGCCUGGUAGUGGGGGAUAACGUUCGGAAACGGACGCUAAUACCGCAUACGUCCUACGGGAGAAAGCAGGGGACCUUCGGGCCUUGCGCUAUCAGAUGAGCCUAGGUCGGAUUAGCUAGUUGGUGAGGUAAUGGCUCACCAAGGCGACGAUCCGUAACUGGUCUGAGAGGAUGAUCAGUCACACUGGAACUGAGACACGGUCCAGACUCCUACGGGAGGCAGCAGUGGGGAAUAUUGGACAAUGGGCGAAAGCCUGAUCCAGCCAUGCCGCGUGUGUGAAGAAGGUCUUCGGAUUGUAAAGCACUUUAAGUUGGGAGGAAGGGCAUUAACCUAAUACGUUAGUGUUUUGACGUUACCGACAGAAUAAGCACCGGCUAACUCUGUGCCAGCAGCCGCGGUAAU